CUGGAAAAAGAAAAAGAUUCAAGGAAAAGCAUGCUACUAUUUAAAAAUUACCCACAAAAAUGAAAGAACAACAACAACAACAAUGAACCCAGUGUAUGCCGAUAAACGGGAUCUGGGGAGGAUAGUGUGCACAUACAUCUUACCCCUACCUUAUAAAGAUAUGGAGGCGGUUUUCGAUAAAUUCUCGGCACAAAAAUGAAAGAACUGAGGAUCAAUAUUAAGGAAAUUAACACUGAUAUUUUAAAUACUCACUGGGAUUCUUUGCUUCAAGUAAUUACCCAAUCUUGCUACAACAGUAGAACGUUUAUGCCAAAACUUGCCACUUAGUCUAAGCUUCACAUAAGGUCCAUCCACUUCAGCUAGUUCUGCUUUCCCUGUACAUUUUAUUUCACCUUUUUAGUGCAAAUAUAUUUCUUUCGUCUAAGCUUCACAUAAGGUCCAUCCACUCCUGCUAGUUCUGCUUUCCCUGUACAUUUCAUUUCAUUUUUUUAGUGCAAAUAAAAAUUAAAUUCCAUUAUUUUGCUCAAGGGAUUAAUGAAGCUAAUGAAUUUUUGCGAUAUCAGAGUUUAAAUUUCAACAGAGGUAAAAAAGCGUUGGAUGAUUUCUUUUUAUUUGUCUUAGCUCCCGUCUGGACAUAGGCCUUUUUUUUUACACUUUUAAAAAAAUAUUUUGAAUAACAUUAUUUGGUAACAAGUGACCAGUUUUUUCGACAGCUUUUGAAGAUAAAUUUUUUAAGUUUCAAAAAGUAGUUUAAAUCAGUUUUUGAAGUUUUCUACUUACAACUUUAACUUCUUUUUCGAAUAAAACAUAUAUUAAACACAAUUUCAACUUCCAAAAACAAUUCAUCUUAUCAUCAAAUUUUAUUUUUCAAGUUUCAACCAAAUGUAUAUCCAAAAGCUAAUUUAUUCAUGUACUAAUGAAAUGUAUUGGGUAUUUAUUGAAUAAUCGGGUACAUAUAAGAUAG
rnacentral:lncRNA from 1 species